AUACGUAGGAGGCUAGCGUUGUCCGGAUUUACUGGGCGUAAAGGGGGCGCAGGUGGCUGAGUAGGUCCGUGGUGCAAGCUCCAGGCUUAACUUGGAGAGGUUCACGGAAACCGCUUGGCUUGAGGGCGGUAGAGGAGCACAGAAUUCCUGGUGUAGUGGUGAAAUGCGUAGAUAUCAGGAGGAAUACCUGAGGCGAAAGCGGUGCUCUGGGCCGUUCCUGACACUCAGGCCCGAAAGCGUGGGGAGCAAACCGGAUUAGAAACCCGAGUAGUCC
rnacentral:rRNA from 1 species